rnacentral:rRNA from 1 species
AGAGUUUGAUCCUGGCUCAGGAUGAACGCUAGCGAUAGGCUUAACACAUGCAAGUCGAGGGGCAGCAUUAUUUUAGCUUGCUAAGAUAGAUGGCGACCGGCGCACGGGUGCGUAACGCGUAUGCAACCUGCCUGUAAUUAGGGAAUAACCCGGUGAAAGUCGGACUAAUACCCUAUAUUCUUCUUUUUCCGCAUGGAGAAGGACGGAAAGAUUUAUUGAUUACAGAUGGGCAUGCGUCCCAUUAGCUAGUUGGUAAGGUAACGGCUUACCAAGGCAACGAUGGGUAGGGGGACUGAGAGGUUGACCCCCCACACUGGUACUGAGACACGGACCAGACUCCUACGGGAGGCAGCAGUGAGGAAUAUUGGUCAAUGGGCGAGAGCCUGAACCAGCCAAGUCGCGUGAAGGACGACGGUUCUAUGGAUUGUAAACUUCUUUUGUAGAGGAAUAAUGGCAGCUACGCGUAGCUGAGAUGCAUGUACUCUACGAAUAAGUAUCGGCUAACUCCGUGCCAGCAGCCGCGGUAAUACGGAGGAUACGAGCGUUAUCCGGAAUUAUUGGGUUUAAAGGGUGCGUAGGUGGCGUAUUAAGUCAGUGGUGAAAAGCUGCAGCUCAACUGUAGUCUUGCCGUUGAAACUGAUAUGCUAGAGAGGAGACGAGGUAUGCGGAAUGUGUGGUGUAGCGGUGAAAUGCAUAGAUAUCACACAGAACGCCGAUUGCGAAGGCAGCGUACCAGGCUCCGUCUGACACUGAAGCACGAAAGCGUGGGGAUCAAACAGGAUUAGAUACCCUGGUAGUCCACGCAGUAAACGAUGAAUACUAGAUUUUUGCGAUAUACUGUAAGAGUCUAAGCGAAAGCGAUAAGUAUUCCACCUGGGGAGUACGCCGGCAACGGUGAAACUCAAAGGAAUUGACGGGGGCCC